rnacentral:lncRNA from 1 species
AUGGAAGCUCAUCUCACAGAUAUGGAAUCAUGUGGGGGUCCAACUAGUUCUUUAGCCGGUUAAUCUAGAAACACACAUGUGGAAGAUGAUAAUGUUGUAUUUAUUGAAUCAGUACAUCCUCCAAUAUGUGCUCCAGCAAUACCUAAUAAAAGAACUUUGUAUUUGCUUCCUCAAAAUACGAAAAUCCACGAGGAACUGAUUCCACGAUUUCCCCUUCUUGGAGAGAUUUGACUUCUCAGAAGGGAGAUACAUGUGAAACAAUUGUAAUUGAUGAUGAAGGGGACACAGACACAAAUAGAGGGGAGGAGAAAAAUCCUACCGACUUUAUUGAAUGAGGACUGAAUGGAAAUAAAAAUAGUACCAAAAAUGUGGAUUUCCCCAUUGCCAGUCUAUCAAGAAGCAAGACCAAGGCUGCAGUAGGACCUUGUAAUCCCGGUAGGAUUGAUGUCACAGAUGCAUUUCAGAAUGGAAGAUUUGCAGUUCAUCACAAUCCUGAUUCUUAUAUCUCCCAGUCACCAUCAUUUCCUCAUAACCAGAAACAACAAAAGGUGGAUUCUUUAUCACCAGUGGCCUAACUUCCUAAACAGAAUUUCCAGCCGUCAAACCAACAACAUCUUACUAAACCUGCUAAUAAAAUUACUUGUGCAAACUGAAAAAAUCCUUUACAGAAGGGGCAGACAGCUUAUCAAUGAACAGGAUCAGCUCAUCUCUUUUGUUAAACCACCUGCCUUUCUUCUUUCUCCCAGAAGUGGACUCAAAGGACACAGAAUGUAAUGUGUAAAAAAGAUUCUCCUGUGAGAACCACAACUAUUGUUCCUCCAGUGGAGCCAAGCAAGUCCUUACAAGGAUUUUAUAAUGCAUCGCCAUCUCCCUAUGAAAACUGCCAGAGUCUUAGGAAAGAAGUUUUUACUAAAUCCAGAUGUAUAAUCUGUAAUUAAUUAGGAGAGGUUCGCCAUGAAAUCAGUGUUAACAGUAUAACACAUAAACGGUGCAGUAAUAAUUGCUUUAAUGAAUACAGAUUGAUGAAUGGUCUAAUAAUGAACUGCUGUGAACUGUGUAGCAAGUAUAUGCCCAAGAGUACUGGGCACAGCAUUCUGAUAACAGGUCAGCAAAAGACAUUCUGCUGCCAGAAUUGUGCUGAUGAAUAUAAAGAGAUAAUGGAAGCAAAAUCAAAAAUACUGCUUUUACAAAAUAGAUAAAAGAAUGCUAUCAGAGAAGAAAGUGAAAAAUGAUUACAUGAAUCAUCAGGUACACUUUCAGGAACCACAGGAGACAUACCCGAAAAAAAGGAAAAAUCUUCAGAGAUAAUAAAAGUCACAGCAGACUAGCCUUGGAACAUCAUCAGAGGAACAAAAUGUGAAUUUACCUUGUUCUGUGGCAGUAAUACCUCAUACAUUUAAAGAGCAACUAGGAGAUAAAAAUUCAGAGGAGUUUAAUAUGUCCAUUGUACCUUCUUUGAAUCCAGGUUCAUGGCCCCAAAUUUUGAAUAUGAAACAACGUGAAUUUCUUGUCAAAAACAAUUCACCUCAAAUAAGAAAUUUUAAUUUUCCAAAAGACAGUGUAGGCAAGAAGUUUUCAGAAACAUAUUAUACCCGAAUUCUUCCAAAUGGUGAAAAGGGCACCAGACCCUGGCUCCUCUUCUCAGCCUCGAAAGACUCUGUGUUUUGCCUAUAUUGCAGACUCUUUGGGGAAUGAAAAAAUCAGCUGAGAAAUGAGAAUGGGUGCAAAGAUUGGCAUUAUCUGUCACAUCUUCUUAGUAAACAUGACGAAAGUGAAAUGCACAUCAACAAUAGUGUUAAGUAUUCAAAAUUAAAGUCUGACUUGGAAAAUAAAACCAAUGAGGCUACAAAAGGUGGGGAAAAUUGUGUGCAACUAUUGUACACAUAAUGUCCUGUCUGCUCUACUUAUGACGGUGUCUGCAUUACCCAGACACUGUCAUAAAAAGUUUUGUACCAUACACUGUGAAAGAGGAACUUACAGGAGUUCAUUAGCAAUAUGUCUAAUAGCAAACAAAUAAUAAAAAAGGUUCCUGUUCUAAACAUAAAAGCAAUGUGUGAGAGUGUAGCCAUUCUCGCAGAAUCUAGCAAAGGCAGUUUGACCUUUGUCACUAUUAGGGUUCUCACCUUGUAAAAUGUUGUUGGAGGACUUGCACUUAAUAUCCUAAGAGCAAGAGGUGGCAAGAUGCAUAUGUAACAAGCUAAAGAAAAUGUAUUCUGGCCACAGGGUGGUGGUGUGCACCUUUAAUCUCAGUACUCAGAUACAGAGAGUUGGAUAUUUGUGAGCUCUAGGCCUGCCUGGUCUACAGAGCAAGUUCCAGGAGAGGCAAGGUACACACAAUCCCUAUCUUGAAAAAACAAAAAAAAAAAAAAAAAAAAAAAAGGAAAAAAAGAAAGAAGAAAAUGUGUUCAAACAGCUUAAGAAGCAACAGCUGUUUGUUAUUAAACCAAAUUGAGUUUUAUUUCUUUAAAACUUUUUUCAUUUGUGCAAAACAGUUAUUUCUUGUGGUAAAUAGAAGUAAUUCAUGUUUUAUUGAUUUUAUAUUUUUGUUUUCAACUUAAUGUGUAAAUGUUUUAGUUUUGUUAUGAGAAUUAUAAAGAAUAUAUAGCUAUUAGUAUAACUAUAAGAAUUAAAAUGUGGAAU